rnacentral:rRNA from 1 species
UACGUAGGUGGCAAGCGUUGUCCGGAUUUACUGGGCGUAAAGAGCGCGCAGGCGGCUGGUCAAGUCCGAUGUGAAAUCUCCCGGCUCAACUGGGAAACUGCAUCGGAAACUGAUCGGCUUGAAGGUGGGAGAGGGUAGUGGAAUUCCCGGUGUAGUGGUGAAAUGCGUAGAUAUCGGGAAGAACACCCGUGGCGAAGGCGGCUCUCUGGGACGGUACUGACGCUGAGACGCGAAAGCGUGGGGAGCGAACAGG